UCCGGGAUAGCUCAGCGGUAGAGCAUCCGACUGUUAAUCGGACGGUCGCAGGUUUGAAUUCUGCUCCCGGAG
rnacentral:tRNA from 1 species